ACGGAGGAUGCGAGCGUUAUUCGGAAUUAUUGGGCUUAAAGCGCGUGUAGGCGGUCCUUCAAGUCUGAUGUGAAAGCCCCGGGCUUAACCCGGGAAGUGCAUUGGAAACUGCUGGUCUUGAGUACUGGUGAGGAUGGGGGAAUUCCCGGUGUAGCGGUGAAAUUCGUAGAGAUCGGGAGGAAUACCAGUGGCGAAGGCGCCUUUCUGGACGGUAACUGACGCUGAGACGCGAAAGCGUGGGGAGCAAACAG
rnacentral:rRNA from 1 species